rnacentral:rRNA from 1 species
AUUGAACGCUGGCGGCAGGCCUAACACAUGCAAGUCGAACGGUAACAGGAAGAAGCUUGCUUCUUUGCUGACGAGUGGCGGACGGGUGAGUAAUGUCUGGGAAACUGCCUGAUGGAGGGGGAUAACUACUGGAAACGGUAGCUAAUACCGCAUAACGUCGCAAGACCAAAGAGGGGGACCUUCGGGCCUCUUGCCAUCGGAUGUGCCCAGAUGGGAUUAGCUAGUAGGUGGGGUAACGGCUCACCUAGGCGACGAUCCCUAGCUGGUCUGAGAGGAUGACCAGCCACACUGGAUCUGAGACACGGUCCAGACUCCUACGGGAGGCAGCAGUGGGGAAUAUUGCACAAUGGGCGCAAGCCUGAUGCAGCCAUGCCGCGUGUAUGAAGAAGGCCUUCGGGUUGUAAAGUACUUUCAGCGGGGAGGAAGGGAGUAAAGUUAAUACCUUUGCUCAUUGACGUUACCCGCAGAAGAAGCACCGGCUAACUCCGUG